UAGAUUAGAAGGGAAAAAAAAGGCACAGAAACUACCGACGAAGACGUGGACAACUCAUCAGAUUGCAGGUGAGUUGAUGAAAUUUUUUGUUUUUGGCCUGAUUAAAUUGCUAGUCUCAAAAGAUAAAUUAGUAUUAUAUUAGUUAAGUUGUUAAGGAAUUGGAAGUUAGCUAAACUUGGCAGUGAAUGUAGCGUAAGUGUGGGGUUUUUUUUUUUGGGAUUUUUGGAGGCACAAUUUGUUGAAUCAAUUGAUAACUAAUGAUUAUUAUUAAUUGAGGCAAGGAUUAGAAGGUUGUUUAAUUAAUUAGUAGUAGUAAGUAGCUAAUCACUGGAAGGGUUAUAUAUGAUAGUUAAUUGAAAUAUAGUAGCCACAUAUAAUUUUGUUCUGCCUUUUCUUUGUAGUUGGAGCUUGCUGUUACUUUGUUAAUAUUGAAAUUAUAAUUGUUGUAGUUAGUGUAGUUUUAGGGAGAGAUUUGAGGGUCAUAUUGAGGGCAGAGACGAAGUAAUAAUGUGAGGACUCUUGUUCCAUUCCAAAGUUCUUAUAUAUGCCAAGCGUGCCUUUGUUAAAUUAAUAGUAGCCUGGCUACACUUUUAGGUUUCUUUAUUUACUCUUAUUAUUCCUUGAUUGGUUGUUGUUUGGUUACGAAAAUAGUGGAAGAUCCGGAUUAUAUAAGGAAGUGUUAUACGAACUUGUUUGAUUACGAGUAAGGUACAAUUGGUAGAUUGAGAAUGUCCUGAAGCUUUACGAAUAGGGAAGAACUAUCUUGAAGAUUCGUGGCACGCAUUCAGCAUUCAAGGUAUGUUAAGACUUUUUAGACUUGUUGAAGGACGUUUUCCUAAUUAAAGAUUAAAAAAAUGAAAAUAGACAAGGGGUAAGGGGGAAAGAUGGUGGUCUCGUAUCAAUGGUGUGACGGGCAUUGGUACGAGUACCGGUGUUAUAAAAAGGAAAAGUACUGUUAUAGAAUGUGGACUGAAAUUUGAGAAUGCCAAAGCAUAUGGGCAUUAGCUGAUAUACUAUUGACUUAAAUUCCUUGUGUGAUUGUGUUUUAUUUGUUUCACCCGUAUAGUUGAGAUAAUUGAGGUGGUUAUGUAUUAUAUUCAUAUUGAUUGAUUGAGAUGCAUCAUCAUUCCCUCUAUUGAAACAAUAUUGUGCACAUGCAUAGAGAUGAGACUGAGUAUAAGUUGGGCACGUGGAGAUCGUCCGUGCUGGGGAUGGUGAGAUGUUAAGAUUGUAAUUUGGGCACGUGGAGAUCGUCCGUGCGAAAAUUGUUUGAUAUUAUGAUAGUGCGUUGAGAUCGUCCGCACAGACACGUGGAGAUCGUCCGUGUCGGUAUAUGGACCUCGCGAGUCCCCAUGGGUCAUGAACUCUCGAUGUAUUUCCGAGGAGUAUCAUGUAUAUACGAUUGAGUGAGUACUGGGUGUUCUGAGACAUAUCAUUACAUGACAUCAUAUUGCAUUGCAUUUCAUCUCAUCAUUCAUUCUUGAUGACUAUAUGUUUCGUUUGGUGUUUGGAAAAUAUUAAAUGUUGAUUUCCUUUAUUGAUGAAACUUAAAUAGUAAGUGUAAUAUAUAUAUAUAUACUUGUACAAUCUAAGAAUUUAUUUUCUUAUAUAACUCCCGUCACUACUUCUUCGUUGUCGGUCAAUGAGACAUACUGGGUACACGUGGUUUCGUACUCAUACUACACUUGCUGCACUUUUUGUGGUGCAGAUUGAGUGAUUGACUUUCAAUUUGGAAACGUUCUUCGAGAUUGGAUAUGAGUUUGAAUUAUCUUGGAGUUGUGGUGUGCUGUUUGGGAUAUUUUGCGGCCCACACCUUCAGUCUACCCCUAUUUAUUAGGCUAUUUUGUUAUGCUGAUAGGAUAAUUCUUAUGUUUAGAUUUUUGUAUUAGUUUGGAAUUGUAUCAUAUUGUAGAAGCUCUUGUACUUAUGACACUAAAUCUUGGGGUAGUUUUAUUUAUAUUCCGCAUUUAUUUGAAUACUUAGUAUGUUAGAUAUUAGUUUGAUACUUAUCUUUCUCACGUUUAAGUUGAAUUGGUGAUACUUGUUGGGUUGGCUUACCUAUCGGUUGGGAACAUAGGUGCCAUCACGACUCGUGAUUUCUGGGUCGUGACAAAAAUUUAUUUUUUAGUUUAUUAAAAUCAAGAUAUAAUAUGUUUUCUAAUCCUAGCAAUUAUUUUUAAAAAAAUUAUAAAUAAAUUUUGUAAAAUUGCAAAAAUUCUUUAAAGGAAUAAAUUAUUAAAAUUAUUAUUUAUAUUUAUAAUUUCUUAAGAAAUGUGUAAGAAAAUUUAAUAAACAAAAUAUUAAUUAAAUUUUCCCUAUCUUGAAUUUUAAGAAUAAAAAUAUCGUAU
rnacentral:lncRNA from 1 species